GGGAACAAAGUACCUAAUCUUGUUCUUUGUUUAUCCUUUUGCUUUUUUCUUCUCCAAUUUUUACUAAUCUAAUUACCCACUAACAGAUAUCAUCAACUUGAAUCAACUUUAACUGUUUACUGAGUUUACUUUUUUUUGCUCUCUCCUCGGUUUGCGCUUCUUGCUCUUUCCUCCUCCUCUAUCACCAACAUCACCAACAUCAUCAUCUCUUCGGCUUCUUUACAAUUAUCAUCAAUCAUCUCUCAAUCAGCUUUCUUUUAAUCGUCAUUUCCAGUGAUGAACCUGCUAAUAGUAAUCACGAUCACUCUAAUUAUAAAUGUGAUAUCAAUUGUUCAAUUUUAAAGCUUUCACUUUUUUUUCUGGUUUUCUGGUUAAUUGUCAAUGAAAGCAAACACAAAAAUUCAAUUAAAUCGUCUAAUCCUUUUUUUCUUGAUUCUCUUUCAGUUAACGGAAGUGUUGAUCAUUAAACAAUUCAUCAAGGGCAGAUGACGACAUCAUCAUGAAAAUCAUUCACUGGAUGCUCUGAAUAAAAAGAGAGAAAGAAAACAGAAAAUGUAAACAAAAAUAAAUUGAUGGUUUGAUGGCCUUUAAUAUCAAUUAUUGACUCUGAUUAUCAACCAAGGCUGAAUCAUAUUUAUGAACUGAAAUUUAAUCAUAGUAGAUCAUCAACAUUAUCAUCAUAAUCGUCAUGAUAAUAACAAUGCCUUCAAUGCUGAUUACGGUUAUCUCCAAAGAGCCAAUUUCAAGCAAAUUUUCUUUGCCCCUCAAGUGUUUAUCAAUUUGCUACUUUCCAUUAACAUCGCCAAACCAAAACAAAAAAAUACAUCAGUAAUUACCAACAAAACCGACACAGGAACAACAAUAAGAUGAAAGCAAACAUUCUGGAAGUCGAUGAAUUAAUCAAUGCGUAUUUACCUGUAACUAGCUAACUUUUUUUACAAGGAAACUGGAUAAGAUUACAGCAUAAAAUUAACUGAGACAUUCUAAAUGGUGGAUUGAUGAAUGAGCUUCCAGUGACGAGCACAGAAUGAAAGUUGAAAAGAAGAUGAGGCCUUAAAUAACAAUUACCGUAUUAGUUAACCUACAUUGAAUAGAGUAAAGAUUAUAACAACAAACAAUUUGGAGUGCAUUUUUAGUGUUAUAUUUGGCUAAAAACGAGUAAACUAAGGUUAAAUCCUCAUCUAUUAUUACUUCAAGUCUUCAUUCAAGUUAAUUCAUCUUAUUACUGGUUUCACCGGAAGUUGUGGUCCGGCACUACAAUUUUAUGAAUGAAUAAACAGUAUUUACGUGUGUAAAAACACCAACAUAAAACUACACCAACAAAAAAUGGUUAACGUAAAAAACAAUCGUAGGUGGAGGAGGAAAAGAAAUUCAAAGUCUGUCAGGAUCAGAUUUUCUCAAUGAAUUGUAAACCGCAAUUUUUAUCCUCGUCAUUAACUCAUUCACAACAUACCUGUAGGCGACUGGAUAAAAACAAACCAAUCAGUUAGUCACCAAGACCACUACCAACACCAGGAUCAUUCAACUUUGACAGCUUGAUCUCUUGGGUAUAAAGCAAUUCAUUUCUAGUUUUUUUUUUGUGACCAAUCCAAAAUCAUUGGUGAAAUAGCGUUGAUCAAGCUUUCAUCAACUUUCAUUUCUCGGAUCAGAUCAAGAGACACCCAAAAACCUCUAAUAUACCCAUGAAGCAUAACAUUGUU